UUGCAUACGCUGACUGAAUAGUACAGUACACCUGUUACGUGGGCGCUCGACAAAGGCAGUUCUUUUAAAAUGAAGCAAGUCAUCCUCGCUCUCGUAUCGCUCUGCUUCUUCGGCUUCAUUGCGCCACAGUGCGAGAAAGAAAACAUGGCGCAGAUAUUUUCUGAAGCUGACGCUGAAUGUAAUGCAAGAUACAGACAGCAAUACAGACUCGCUACAGAUUUGGUUCCCGCUACGACAAGAUGCUGCAUGUUGGAGUACGGCAAGGACUGCGUUCCCUUACGACUCAGAGAAAAACGAUGCGAUCAACUGAUCUUCACACAUUUUAAGGAAAUAAGGAGCAAGCAAAUAGUGGCGGAAGGUGCAUCCUUGAACUUCAACUAGGCGACUAGACGUACCGCCAUCACGAUACCUCUAUCCCUUGCUACGUAUUUGAAGAAUUGUAGCACCCAAUCAGACGCAAGCGUGGAGGUACACACAACGUCGUCUGCUCUAGUCUAUCGGAGAGCAGUGUAGAAGCAGCAAGAAAGAGCGACAAACUUACGCGGGUUGGUAAUAUGGCCUAAAAUGCUGGACAGAAAACCAACCUGGGACUGUGCGAUAUACUUCUGCACGUCAUUCGUUUGACGCGCCUUGUUUUCUAUGAUGUGGUGCAAUUCACUUUCUUUCCGCCUCUGACGGCGACGUGGACAGCACGCAGCAAGCAUUUCGUCCUCAAAGCACGCGGGCACCUUUCCUUCUUUUUUGGGAUAAACCCUCAAAUAUGAAGGUAAGAAAUGUUCACGUUGAAACACAGUGGUGGACAGAACGAUCUUGGAACCGGGCCGA